UAGAUAUCAUAUUCAUGGAAUAUGAUUCACUUUCAGGAUGCCUCGGUGGUGAGAUGGUAGAUACUCAAGACUCAAAUCUCAUGCUAAAGAGCAGAACAGAGACUGAAAUUUUGAGGACCCUAACUAUAGCACAUGAAUUUAUCACAAUACUUCACCCAGAGAACCAAUUACAUCCAGAUCAUCAACCACCAGAUAGCAUGGAGAAAAAAG
rnacentral:misc_RNA from 1 species